rnacentral:rRNA from 1 species
AAAUUGAAGAGUUUGAUCAUGGCUCAGAUUGAACGCUGGCGGCAGGCCUAACACAUGCAAGUCGAACGGUAACAGGAAGCAGCUUGCUGUUUCGCUGACGAGUGGCGGACGGGUGAGUAAUGUCUGGGAAACUGCCUGAUGGAGGGGGAUAACUACUGGAAACGGUAGCUAAUACCGCAUAACGUCGCAAGACCAAAGAGGGGGACCUUCGGGCCUCUUGCCAUCGGAUGUGCCCAGAUGGGAUUAGCUUGUUGGUGGGGUAACGGCUCACCAAGGCGACGAUCCCUAGCUGGUCUGAGAGGAUGACCAGCCACACUGGAACUGAGACACGGUCCAGACUCCUACGGGAGGCAGCAGUGGGGAAUAUUGCACAAUGGGCGCAAGCCUGAUGCAGCCAUGCCGCGUGUAUGAAGAAGGCCUUCGGGUUGUAAAGUACUUUCAGCGGGGAGGAAGGGAGUAAAGUUAAUACCUUUACUCAUUGACGUUACCCGCAGAAGAAGCACCGGC